ACUACGUGAGGCAGCAGUGAGGAAUAUUGGUCAAUGGGAGAGAUCCUGAACCAGCCAAGCCGCGUGAGGGAAGACGGCCCUAUGGGUUGUAAACCUCUUUUGUCGGAGAACAAAACCCGGGACGUGUCCCGGACUGCGUGUAUCCGAAGAAAAAGCAUCGGCUAACUCCGUGCCAGCAGCCGCGGUAAUUCGGAGGAUGCGAGCGUUAUCCGGUUUUAUUGGGAUUAAAGGGUGCGUAGGCGGUCCGUUAAGUCAGCGGUAAAAUGGCGGGGCUAAACCCUGUCGAGCCGUUGAAACUGGCAGACUUGAGUUGGCGAGAAGUACGCGGAAUGCGCGGUGUAGCGGUGAAAUGCAUAGAUAUCGCGCAGAACUCCGAUUGCGAAGGCAGCGUACCGGCGCCAGACUGACGCUGAGGCACGAAAGCGUGGGGAUCGAACAGGAUUAGAUACCCUUGUAGUC
rnacentral:rRNA from 1 species